UAAUACGGGAAUUCGUCGAAAGAAACUCCAACUUCACACCCGUCGAUAAUAGCAGCAAGAAUCUCUUCCUUCAAUAUUGCAGAUCUUACAGACGUUCCUGAUGUUGAUGCAGAGAGUGAAUCCCUGUUCCAAUCUCUUGUUUCCAGUGGCUGUUAUUUAAGAGGUGUGACUUUGCCUAUCGCUCCGAUUUCAGUAUUUGUAGCUGAAUUUACUUCUAAACCAUCGAUCUCAUCAUCAGGAUUAGCGGUUUCAAUAUUAGUUUUAGGUGCAGCUUGAACAGCAGGCUUCAAACGAGAUAAAUCCGAUCGCAGAUUUGAUAAAGAUGCCAAAAUAGAUGCACCUGC
rnacentral:lncRNA from 1 species